GAUGAACGCUGGCGGCGUGCCUAAUACAUGCAAGUCGAGCGAACGGACGAGAAGCUUGCUUCUCUGAUGUUAGCGGCGGACGGGUGUGUAACACGUGUAUACCCUACCUAUAAGACUGGGAUAACUUCGGGAAACCGUAUCUAAUACCGGAUAAUAUUUUGAACCGCAUGGUUCAAAAGUGAAAGACGGUCUUGCUGUCACUUAUAGAUGGAUCCGCGCUGCAUUAGCUAGUUGGUAAGGUAACGGCUUACCAAGGCGACGAUGCAUAGCCGACGUGCGAGGGUGGUCGGCGACCUGGGAGCUGAGACACGGACCAGAGUCCUACGGGAGGGAGCAGUAGGGAAUGUGCCGCAGUGGGCGAAAGCAUGACGGAGCAACGCCGCGUGAGUGAUGAAGGUCUUCGGAUCGUAAAACUCUGUUAUUAGGGAAGAACAUAUGUGUAAGUAACUGUGCACAUCUUGACGGUACCGAAUCAGAAAGCCACGGCUAACUACGUG
rnacentral:rRNA from 1 species